AUUGAAGCUGGAGGCAGGCCUAACACAUGCACGUCGAAAGAGUGGCGUACGUGUGAGUACUGUCUGGGAAACUGCCUGAUGGAGGGGGAUAAGGACUGGAAACGGUAGCUCAUAACGCAUACCCUCGGAUGUGCCCAGAUGGGAUUAGCGAGUAGGUGGGGUAAAGGCGCAACUAGCCGAAGAUCCCUCGCUAGUCUCAGAGGAUGACCAGCCACACUGGAAGUUAGACACGGCACAGACUCCUACGGGAGGCAGCAGUGGGGAUUAUUGCACCAGGGGCGCAAGCCUGAUUCAGCCAGGCCGGGUGUAUGUAGAAGGCCUUCGGGUUGUAAAGUACUUUCAGCGGGGAGGCGUUACCCGAAGAAGGAGCACCGGCUAACGCCGUGCCAGCAGCCGCGGUAAUAC
rnacentral:rRNA from 1 species